rnacentral:rRNA from 1 species
UGUAGGCUGCAACUCGCCUACAUGAAGCUGGAAUUGCUAGUAAUCACAGGUCAGCAUACUGUGGUGAAUACGUUCCCGGGCCUUGUACACACCGCCCGUCACACCAUGAGAGUUGAGAAUACCCGAAGUCCAUGUCAAAGUGGCCGAAGGUAGGCUUGAUGAUUGGGGUGAAGUCGUAACAAGGUAUC